AACUAGAUGGCCGAGAACUAGGCACCGAGCUUUUAACUCGACAACAGAAAUUACUCUUCUAGUUGC
rnacentral:tRNA from 1 species